AUGCAAGUCGAGCGGUAACAUUUCUAGCUUGCUAGAAGAUGACGAGCGGCGGACGGGUGAGUAAUGCUUGGGAACAUGCCUUGAGGUGGGGGACAACAGUUGGAAACGACUGCUAAUACCGCAUAAUGUCUACGGACCAAAGGGGGCUUCGGCUCUCGCCUUUAGAUUGGCCCAAGUGGGAUUAGCUAGUUGGUGAGGUAAUGGCUCACCAAGGCGACGAUCCCUAGCUGGUUUGAGAGGAUGAUCAGCCACACUGGGACUGAGACACGGCCCAGACUCCUACGGGAGGCAGCAGUGGGGAAUAUUGCACAAUGGGCGCAAGCCUGAUGCAGCCAUGCCGCGUGUGUGAAGAAGGCCUUCGGGUUGUAAAGCACUUUCGGUCAGGAGGAAAGGUUAGUAGUUAAUACCUGCUAGCUGUGACGUUACUGACAGAAGAAGCACCGGCUAACUCCGUGCCAGCAGCCGCGGUAAUACGGAGGGUGCGAGCGUUAAUCGGAAUUACUGGGCGUAAAGCGUACGCAGGCGGUUUGUUAAGCGAGAUGUGAAAGCCCCGGGCUCAACCUGGGAACUGCAUUUCGAACUGGCAAACUAGAGUGUGAUAGAGGGUGGUAGAAUUUCAGGUGUAGCGGUGAAAUGCGUAGAGAUCUGAAGGAAUACCGAUGGCGAAGGCAGCCACCUGGGUCAACACUGACGCUCAUGUACGAAAGCGUGGGGAGCAAACAGGAUUAGAUACCCUGGUAGUCCACGCCGUAAACGAUGUCUACUAGAAGCUCGGAACCUCGGUUCUGUUUUUCAAAGCUAACGCAUUAAGUAGACCGCCUGGGGAGUACGGCCGCAAGGUUAAAACUCAAAUGAAUUGACGGGGGCCCGCACAAGCGGUGGAGCAUGUGGUUUAAUUCGAUGCAACGCGAAGAAUCUUACUACACUGACAUACAGAGACUUUCUAGAGAUAGAUUGGUGCUUCGGGACUCUGAUACAGUGCUGCAUGCUGUCGUCAGCUCGAUGUGUGAGAUGUGGGUAGUUCCCGCAUGAGCGUACCCCUUAUCUUAGUGCUAGCAGGUAUGCUGAAACUCUAAGGAAACUGCCGGUGAUAACCGGAGAAAGGGGGGACAACCUCCAAUACUCUCUGGCUCG
rnacentral:rRNA from 1 species